UGUCAAUGGAUGGGAAUCGAACCCACGACCUUCCGCUUACCGGGCAGAUGCCAUGACCACUAGGCUACCCUGGAC
rnacentral:tRNA from 1 species